rnacentral:rRNA from 1 species
AGCGAACGCUGGCGGCAGGCCUAACACAUGCAAGUCGAACGGGCUCUUCGGAGCUAGCGGCGGACGGGUGAGUAACACGUGGGAACGUGCCUUUAGGUUCGGAAUAAGCCCGGGAAACUGGGUCUAAUACCGAAUGUGCCCUUCGGGGGAAAGAUUUAUCGCCUUUAGAGCGGCCCGCGUCUGAUUAGCUAGUUGGUGAGGUAAUGGCUCACCAAGGCGACGAUCAGUAGCUGGUCUGAGAGGAUGACCAGCCACAUUGGGACUGAGAUACGGCCCAAACUCCUACGGGAGGCAGCAGUGGGGAAUCUUGCGCAAUGGGCGAAAGCCUGACGCAGCCAUGCCGCGUGGAUGAUGAAGGUCUUAGGAUUGCAAAAUCCUUUCACCGGUGAAGAUAAUGACUGUAGCCGGAGAAGAAGCCCCGGCUAACUUCGUGCCAGCCGCCGCCGUAA